rnacentral:rRNA from 1 species
GGGGAAUAUUGGACAAUGGGGGCAACCCUGAUCCAGCAAUGCCGCGUGUGUGAAGAAGGUCUUCGGAUUGUAAAGCACUUUCGACGGGGACGAUGAUGACGGUACCCGUAGAAGAAGCUCCGGCUAACUUCGUGCCAGCAGCCGCGGUAAUACGAAGGGGGCUAGCGUUGCUCGGAAUGACUGGGCGUAAAGGGCGUGUAGGCGGUUUACACAGUCAGAUGUGAAAUCCCCGGGCUUAACCUGGGAGCUGCAUUUGAUAUGUGUAGACUAGAGUGUGAGAGAGGGUUUGUGGAAUUCCCAGUGUAGAGGUGAAA